UCGAGCGAACGGACGAGAAGCUUGCUUCUCUGAUGUUAGCGGCGGACGGGUGAGUAACACGUGGAUAACCUACCUAUAAGACUGGGAUAACUUCGGGAAACCGGAGCUAAUACCGGAUAAUAUUUUGAACCGCAUGGUUCAAAAGUGAAAGACGGUCUUGCUGUCACUUAUAGAUGGAUCCGCGCUGCAUUAGCUAGUUGGUAAGGUAACGGCUUACCAAGGCAACGAUGCAUAGCCGACCUGAGAGGGUGAUCGGCCACACUGGAACUGAGACACGGUCCAGACUCCUACGGGAGGCAGCAGUAGGGAAUCUUCCGCAAUGGGCGAAAGCCUGACGGAGCAACGCCGCGUGAGUGAUGAAGGUCUUCGGAUCGUAAAACUCUGUUAUUAGGGAAGAACAUAUGUGUAAGUAACUGUGCACAUCUUGACGGUACCUAAUCAGAAAGCCACGGCUAACUACGUGCCAGCAGCCGCGGUAAUACGUAGGUGGCAAGCGUUAUCCGGAAUUAUUGGGCGUAAAGCGCGCGUAGGCGGUUUUUUAAGUCUGAUGUGAAAGCCCACGGCUCAACCGUGGAGGGUCAUUGGAAACUGGAAAACUUGAGUGCAGAAGAGGAAAGUGGAAUUCCAUGUGUAGCGGUGAAAUGCGCAGAGAUAUGGAGGAACACCAGUGGCGAAGGCGACUUUCUGGUCUGUAACUGACGCUGAUGUGCGAAAGCGUGGGGAUCAAACAGGAUUAGAUACCCUGGUAGUCCACGCCGUAAACGAUGAGUGCUAAGUGUUAGGGGGUUUCCGCCCCUUAGUGCUGCAGCUAACGCAUUAAGCACUCCGCCUGGGGAGUACGACCGCAAGGUUGAAACUCAAAGGAAUUGACGGGGACCCGCACAAGCGGUGGAGCAUGUGGUUUAAUUCGAAGCAACGCGAAGAACCUUACCAAAUCUUGACAUCCUUUGACAACUCUAGAGAUAGAGCCUUCCCCUUCGGGGGACAAAGUGACAGGUGGUGCAUGGUUGUCGUCAGCUCGUGUCGUGAGAUGUUGGGUUAAGUCCCGCAACGAGCGCAACCCUUAAGCUUAGUUGCCAU
rnacentral:rRNA from 1 species